CCUACGGGAGGCAGCAGUGAGGAAUCUUGGUCAAUGGGCGCGAGCCUGAACCAGCCAAGUAGCGUGAAGGAUGCCUGCCCUACGGGUUGUAAACUUCUUUUAUAAAGGAAUAAAGUGAGGCACGUGUGCCUUUUUGUAUGUACUUUAUGAAUAAGGAUCGGCUCACUCCGUGCCAGCAGCCGCGGUAAUACGUAGGAUGCGAGCGUUGUCCGGAUUUAUUGGGUUUAAAGGGAGCGUAGUUGGGUUGUUAAGUCAGUUGUGAAAGUUUGCGGCUCAACCGUAAAAUUGCAAUUGAUACUGGCAGUCUUGAGUACAGUUGAGGUAGGCGGAAUUCGUGGUGUAGCGGUGAAAUGCUUAGAUAUCACGAAGAACUCCGAUUGCGAAGGCAGCUUACUAAACUGCCACUGACAUUGAUGCUCGAAAGUGUGGGUAGCAAACAGGAUUAGAUACCCGUGUAGUC
rnacentral:rRNA from 1 species